GAUGAACGCUGGCGGCGUGCCUAAUACAUGCAAGUCGAGCGAACAGACGAGGAGCUUGCUCCUCUGACGUUAGCGGCGGACGGGUGAGUAACACGUGGAUAACCUACCUAUAAGACUGGGAUAACUUCGGGAAACCGGAGCUAAUACCGGAUAAUAUAUUGAACCGCAUGGUUCAAUAGUGAAAGACGGUUUUGCUGUCACUUAUAGAUGGAUCCGCGCCGCAUUAGCUAGUUGGUAAGGUAACGGCUUACCAAGGCAACGAUGCGUAGCCGACCUGAGAGGGUGAUCGGCCACACUGGAACUGAGACACGGUCCAGACUCCUACGGGAGGCAGCAGUAGGGAAUCUUCCGCAAUGGGCGAAAGCCUGACGGAGCAACGCCGCGUGAGUGAUGAAGGUCUUCGGAUCGUAAAACUCUGUUAUUAGGGAAGAACAAAUGUGUAAGUAACUAUGCACGUCUUGGCGGUACCUAAUCAGAAAGCCACGGCUAACUACGU
rnacentral:rRNA from 1 species